rnacentral:rRNA from 1 species
GAUGAACGCUGGCGGCGUGCCUAAUACAUGCAAGUCGAGCGAACGGACGAGAAGCUUGCUUUUCUGAUGUUAGCGGCGGACGGGUGAGUAACACGUGGAUAACCUACCUAUAAGACUGGGAUAACUUCGGGAAACCGGAGCUAAUACCGGAUAAUAUUUUGAACCGCAUGGUUCAAAAGUGAAAGACGGUCUUGCUGUCACUUAUAGAUGGAUCCGCGCUGCAUUAGCUAGUUGGUAAGGUAACGGCUUACCAAGGCAACGAUGCAUAGCCGACCUGAGAGGGUGAUCGGCCACGCUAGAACUGAGACACGGUCCAGACUCCUACGGGAGGCAGCAGUAGGGAAUCUUCCGCCAUGGGCGAAAGCCUGACGGAGCAACGCCGCGUGAGUGAUGAAGGUCUUCGGAUCGUAGAACUCUGUUAUUAGGGAAGAACAUAUGUGUAAGUAACUGUGCACAUCUUGACGGUACCUAAUCAGAAAGCCACGGCUAACUACGUG